UGGGGCGCUCAAAGUAUCUUCAAGAAGGUUUUGAUUAUGGCUCAGAUUGAACGCUGGCGGGAUGUCUUUACACAUGCAAGUCGAACGGCGGCAGCACGGACUUCGGUCUGGUGGCGAGUGGCGAACGGGUGAGUAAUGUAUCCCGGAACGUGCUAGUAGCGGGGGAUAACUACGCGAAAGCGUAGCUAAUGCACCGCAUACGCCCUUCGGGGGAAAGCGGGGGACCUUCGGGCCUCGCACUAUUAGAGCGGCCGAUAUCGGAUUAGCUAGUUGGUGGGGUAACGGCUCACAAGGCGACGAUCCGUAGCUGGUUUGAGAGGACGACCAGCCACACUGGGACUGAGACACGGCCCAGACUCCUACAAGGAGGGCAACGAAGUGGAGAGUACUGGACAAUGGGAAACCCUGAGUCCAGCCAUCCCGCCGUGGUGCGAUGAAGGCCUUCUGGUUGUAAAGCACUUUUGGCAGGAAAGAAACGGCACGGGAUAAUACCCGUGCAACUGACGACACCUGCAGAAUAAGCACCCAUUUAACUACGUGCCAGCAGCCGCGGUAAUACGUAGGGUGCAAGCGUUAAUCGGAAUUACUGGGCGCUAAAGCGUGCGCAGGCGGUUCGGAAAGAAAGAUGUGAAAUCCCAGAGCUUAACUUUGGAACUGCAUUUUUAACUACCGAGCUAGAGUGUGUCAGAGAGGGAGGUGGAAUUCCGCGUGUAGCAGUGAAAUGUGCGUAGAUAUGCCGGAGGAACACCGAUAGCGAAGGCAGCCUCCUGGGAUAACCGCUGACGCUCAUGCGCGGCAGUAGAGGCGGACGGAUUGAAUGCUAGUGAUCCACCUAAACGAUAUCGAAAGCAUUAGCUGUUGUUGGGGCCUUCCGGGCCUUGGUAGCGCAGCUAACGCGUGAAGUUGACCGCCUGGGGAGUACGGUCGCAAGAUUAAAACUCAAAGGAAUUGACGGGGACCCGCACAAGCGGUGGAUGAUGUGGAUUAAUUCGAUGCAACGCGAAAAACCUUACCUACCCGAGCAUAUAUGGAAUCACGAAAGAUUUGGGGAGUGUCAUAGAACAGGAACAUACGAGUGCUGCAUGGCUGUCGAUCAGCUCGUGUCGUGAGAUGUUGGGUUAAGUCCCGCAACGAGCGCAACCCUUGUCAUUAGUUGCUACGAAAGAGGGCACUCUAAUGAGACUGCCGGUGACAAACCGGAGGAAGGUGGGGAUGACGUCAAGUCCUCACGCUAACCCGCCAUCGGGUAGACUUCACACGUCAUACAAUGAUCGGGACAGAGGGUCGCCAACCCGCGAGGAAGGCCAAUCCCAGAAACCCAAUCCAUAGUCGGAUCGCAGUCUGCAACUCGACUGCGUGAAGUCGGAAUCGCUAGUAAUCGCGGAUCAGCAUGUCGCGGUGAAUACGUUCCCGGGUCUUCGCAUACCGCCCGUCACACCAUGGGAGUGGGUUUUACCAGAAGUAGUUAACUGUCUGUGUCGGGAGGUAGUCUGAUGGAUUCUGACUGAAGGUGAAGUCGUAACAAGGUAA
rnacentral:rRNA from 1 species